CCCCCCCAGCCCUGUCCUGCCCCACAGAGACCCCCCUGGCACCCAGACACAGCCCCAGCUCUGGGGUUGGGAUUUUCUUCCUGGGUUUGACAAGGAGGAUGAGCUCCCCAAAAAUCCAGCGUGGGACAGGACAUCUCGUCCCUGCCACCCAGUGCCUGUCCCUGGUGCAAUGCAAACAUCCCACACUUCGCUGUGCAUUUUUUUUGCUGUUUCCAUAUUUAAUAAAGCUGCUGUCCGUUCUAUUCUGUUGCUGGAAAGGUCCCGAAUUUCAGGAAUCACUGGAAUGCAGUGCAUCCUUGGAAUGCAGGAUUGGAUCCAGCCACAGCACAGAACCCUCUCCCGGUUUCACACACGUGGGUGGGGUCUCCACAUCCUCAUUUUUCCCUUCAAAAAACCGCACUGACACAAGACUUCCUGCAGCACCACUGCUUCUAGUGAACGGAUUCUAAAACAGAGCACUUUAAAGCUGCAAUACAAGAGAGAUCAGGAUAGCAUUGGAGUCCAGCUUGGACCCUCUCCUUGCAGAAUGGGUUCCUUCAUGUUAUUCCAGGUUUUAAAAACCGCCUGAGGACAUUUGUGAGAACAGCAACAGCUUGGCACAGGGCUGGGAAUGGUGAGGGCAGUGAUGCAGUCACACACAGUGACCCAGGAGGGUUCACUGCCACUGCUGGGGUGAGCAUCUCUGCUGCAGGGCACUGCACCUGCUGGCCUGGCACCCUUCAGGCUGAGCCCAGCCAGCCCAGGCUCCUCCUGGCUGCAGAAAUGGGAUUUGGGGACUGCUGAGUGCUCCCAGUGCUCACCUGGUGCUGCUCGCCCCAUGUCAGGAGGAAAAAUGGGGAAAUGGGAAAUUUGUGUCACCUGCAGGAGCUCAGAUGGAACCUGGGGGUGAUCACAGUGAGAGUGGAGCUGUCCCACCCCAGGCUGGGAUGGUGGGAAUGGUGGAAAUGUCCCUGUCCCUGUCCCUGUCCCUGUCCCUGGAAUGGGACAGGCUUUGGGGUCCCUCCCAGCCCAGCCCAGCCCAGCCUGGCAUUGUGUGAUAACAAUUUUGUUAUUCCUGCUGUCAGUUGUUCAGUUGUUGGUGGGCAAGUCAGGAGCUCCCAGGGCCAGCAGGCCCCCAAAUCCUUCCUGUCCAGGUGAUUUCCCCAAAUCCUGCCUGUCCAGGUCCCCCCAAUCCUGCCUGUCCAGGUGAUUUCCCCAAAUCCUGCCUGUCCAGGUCCCCAAAUCCUGCCUGUCCAGGUGAUUUCCCCCAAAUCCUGCCUGUCCAGGUCCCCAAAUCCUGUCCAGGUGAUUUUCCCCAAUCCUGCCUGUCCAUGUGAUUUUUCCCCAAUCCUGCCUGUCCAGGUGAUUUUCCCCAAACCCUGCCUGUCCAGGUCCCCAAAUCCUGCCUGUCCAGGUGAUUUCCUCCAAUCCUGCCUGUUCAGGUCCCCAAAUCCUGCCUGUUCAGGUCCCCAAAUCCUGCCUGUCCAGGUGAUUUUCCCAAAUCCUGCCUGUCCAGGUGAUUUCCCCAAUCCUGCCUGCCCAGGUCCCCAAACCCUGUCCUGGUGACUCUCCCAGGGACAGCCUGGUGCCCUGAGCAGGAGCCCUGGCUGCCACAGGAUCUGUGGGGAUUAAAUUCUGCUCGAUGCUGCAGGGAUUUGCAGGUGCCUCACGGUUCAAAGCAUCCUUUAUCACUGCUAAAUCACCCAAACCAGCACGAAAUGGAGUGCGAGGAAAAUCCCAAUCCACACAAAAGGGACGGCGCUGACCUUCGCAGCCAGGUGGGAAUUUGGCUUUAGGGAAGGCUCAGGAGGUGCCACACAACAAUUGGAGCUCUGAUUUUUGGGGAAAUGUGGAUUUUACAGAGGUCACCUGCUGGUCAGUGGUGGGGAGGGAGGGACAGAGAGGAGCUGGUGCCAGCCCUGCAGGUGGCAGAGGAGCCUUUGCUGUCCCCCCCGUGCUCCAAAGGAUGCCUCAGCAUUUCCCAAAACACAUUCCAGGCUGGAGAGGAAGAGGAAAGUCGUGUUUCAUGAAGGCACAACCAUGCUGACUUGGCAGGAGGGAGGG